rnacentral:rRNA from 1 species
UACGUAGGGUGCAAGCGUUAAUCGGAAUUACUGGGCGUAAAGCGUGCGCAGGCAGUUAUGCAAGACAGAUGUGAAAUCCCCGGGCUCAACCUGGGAACUGCAUUUGUGACUGCAUGGCUAGAGUACGGUAGAGGGGGAUGGAAUUCCGCGUGUAGCAGUGAAAUGCGUAGAUAUGCGGAGGAACACCGAUGGCGAAGGCAAUCCCCUGGACCUGUACUGACGCUCAUGCACGAAAGCGUGGGGAGCAAACAGG